UCAUUUUAUCAACUGCUUAGUCAAAUAAUGUAAAAGAAAAAUAUCUGACAAUUGCUUUACUCUCAACAGUGUGCUUCUUAUGAGUGUUCAUGGGGAUCUCCGCCCAUCUUUGCCGGAAAAGUUGGUUAAUGAAGAUUCUGGUGUACUUCUCCGGCUUAUCAGUGUUCGUUGGGAGAUCAAUUCACAUUAAUUAGGCAUCCGCAUGAUCCAUCAAAUCCAGUUAAAUCUAGUGAUGUUCAUAAGAUUAUUGAGAAUCUUUCCUAGAAGCAGAGGCUUAUGACUCAAGUUAUUUUGGAUGUUAAAAAUGUAGCAUAAUUUGCACCUACACAUCUAGUGUAAGUUAGUUUUGUUGUUCAAACGCUAAAUCAUAUUGUAUUUUAACUGCUCUAUGUACAGGGGGAAUUCUUACUGUUUGCUCAACUACUAUCUAACUUAAGCUUAUCAUAUUAUGUUAGAUAUUGUGAAACAAUGUGAUCAUGUUAGUAAAGCUAAAAAAACUCCUUUGAGUUAUCAAAAGUAUCCGUUGGAUCAAAAUUUAUCUUUCCUCUUUACAAUUACAAGAUCAUAUUCUAGCUUUGAUAAAGGGGGCUUCUUGUAGUAACUUGUAUCACUAAUGGACAUUGUUUAAGGUAGUGAUAAUGAAGGAAGAAAAUCUGGAGCGAUAUUCAAAAAAUAGUUUGAGACUAAGACGUAGUUUGUGUUGUAUUACCAAAUGAAUAAUGAUAAACACGUGCUUCACAAACAAGUCAUACCUACAAGUAAUCUUCAUGCAGUUAAUAUGAAGGGGGUAGGAAAAGGCAAAAGAAACUAUGAAUUUUUCUUAGUGGAAAUAUAUCAAGAUACUACUACAAUCAAUACAUUAAGUUUUGUGAUUGUUUCAACUUCUUGUUGUUUAUCUUUUCAUAUGUAAAAUAUGUGAUUGAUGAAUAAAGAUAAAAGGGCUCUCUAUAGUUAACAUAUUUUUGUUAUCAAUCAUAACUCACCAAAAUUUUCAUUUUUUGAGUUAAUAUUGUGUCAUCAGAAAAUCACAAACUAAUGGUUCAUUUGGUGCUCGUUAGAAUGUGGAACUAUUCAUAGAUCAAAAUUAACAUAAUUAGUACUAUGUUUGGUAGCGUUACAAUUGCUAAAGAUUCCACAUACCAAGUAUGGUGUUUAGUUACAUGUUUGCAAUCCCACAUUACUAAUUUGGAAAAAAAGUUGUGUGUUUGCCAAAUUUAUUUGAAUGAAUUAAUCUUUACAAGGAUAAAUUUAUAACUCUAUGACUUAAAAAGUUAAAGGGGUAAAUUUGAAAAAAAAUCAUAAAUUUUUAAAUUUUUUAUGAUAUCUUAUUAUGUUUUGACUUUAGGCCACUAAGGGGUCAUUUGGUAGAGUGUAUAAGAAUAAUGCUAAAUAAAGUGUAUUAGUAAUACUUGCAUUAGCAAUGCAUAUAUUAGUUAUGCUUGCAUUAAUUAUACAUAAAUUAUUUUAAUGCAUUGUUUGGUUUAAUUGAAAAUAUUAAUGUAUUAACUGUAGUAGUAUUCAUUGCAUGAAGAAUGCUUUUCUUCCCCAUUUAUAUUCAUUGCAUGAAUAAUGCUUGUAGGUAUCACUUCUUUGUGAAAUACAUGCGUACGAUUACUCAUUUGGUAAAACAACAAAACUAUGUCUCAAUCUCAAACUAAUUUGCGUGUCGCUCCAUUUUUACCCCUUCAUUAUCACGACCUCGAAGAAUGCCCUUAGCGAUUCAAGUUACUAUAAGAAGACCCCUUUCAAGAAGCUAGAACAGUGACCUUGUAAUUGUAAAGAGAGAUGAAUUUUUUUAACAUGAUUGCAUUGCCUCAUAAUAGCUAACAAAAUAUGAUACGCUAAAGUUAAAUAGAGCAACAAUAACAAUUCCACCUUGUGUAUAAAGUUGUUAAAAUACGACAUGCUUUAGCAAUGAGCAACAAAACUAACUUACAUUAGAUGUGUAGCUGCAAAUUAUGUUACAUUCUUUAACAUCCAAAAUAACUUAAGUCACACGCUUGCACUUCUUGGCAAGAUUUAGAAAACAAGUCAUCCACCUAGCUACCAAAAGAAAUGUCUUUAGUGGCAAUUAAUUGAAUGUCACUAUAUUCCUUUGCUCAACAAUUAAACAAUAAUAGGAAUGAAGAUCUUUUCACUGGCCAUUGAAGAGAUUAGCCACAAAAUGGUGGUACUAAAUAGAGUAAUACAAAUAACUGAAAGUGAUUUUUUCCUAAUUUUAUCUUCCCUCCACCUUUUUGUAUGUUCCCUCCCUCCUUGUAAACCGAGAACAGACGGAAAUCUAAAAUUCCAGUCUCCUAUUCUCCGAUUAUUCAGUGCAUUUGCAAUUGUUUCGUCAAGGAUUUUGGAUUUGUGGUGGAUUUUAGAUGUUCUGGAUAGGAACAAUGUGGAAGAGGAAGGUGAGUGUGUUUGAUGUGGUGGAUGAAUCGUUGGCAUUGGCGAAGAAAGCCAAUGGUGGAGACAGCAUGACGCCUUCGAUCAACACGUAAUAUGAAAAGCCUUACUCACAGUGGUUCUAUGAGAUUUUGUAGAAGAGGAAGACUCUUUCGGUAUAGCAUCAAAAAAAGGAGUUCUCAAGCUGAUGAAUAUCCAAUCAACGACUGUCGUCACCAGAAAAUAGCUGAGAUGGCUCGCUCACAUGGUUCUCUUGUACUGGUAGGUAACAACAGUAUUAUGUACCUUGUAUCAUCCCAUCCUUUGAACCUUGGAGUAGGUAUCUGCAGAUACUUCUUGUUCUGGUAACAUGAACCAUAUUGUGUUAACAUUCUCAAGGUGUUGGUUACCUUAAAUGGUCCAUUAUUUUUUAGAUAUUGUGAUGCAUUCAGCAGCUAAGUUUAUAGCUCGCCAUUGUGAUUUGAU